ensembl:processed_transcript
UUAUUUUUUUCAAACGAGGGAGUGAAGUCAAGUCCGCCAUUUCAUCUUCUUCUUUAUAUCGGAAAAGAAAGGAAUCAUGCAAGGAUGCAAGCUGAAGGAAAGGACAACUAUCACAUCAGUGCAUUACUAAUUGUUUGACUUCAUCAUCAAGCACACCAGGCAGUGCGGUGGAACAGUGGAUAGCUCUGUUGCCUCCCAGCAAAAAUGUUUUUGGUUCGAGCCUCGGCUGGGUCAGUUGGCAUUUCUGUGUGUAGUUUGUAUGUUCUCCCCGUGUUGGCGUGGGUUUCCUCCGGGUGCUCCUGUUUCCCCCACAAGACAUGCGGUACAGCUCAGAUUGUGAUGGACCUGGAAUGCGACACCA